rnacentral:rRNA from 1 species
UACGUAGGGGGCGAGCGUUGUCCGGAAUCAUUGGGCGUAAAGCGCGUGUAGGCGGCUCGGUAAGUCCGGUGUGAAACCUUGGGGCUCAACCCCAAGCCUGCACUGGAUACUGUCGAGCUUGAGUCCGGGAGGGGAGAGCGGAAUUCCUGGUGUAGCGGUGAAAUGCGCAGAUAUCAGGAGGAACACCGGUGGCGAAGGCGGGUCUCUGGGCAACAACUGACGCUGAGGAGCGAAAGCGUGGGGAGCGAACAGG